AGGGGAGCUUGCUCUCUGAUUCAGCGGCGGACGGGUGAGUAAUGCCUAGGAAUCUGCCUGGUAGUGGGGGACAACGUUUCGAAAGGAACGCUAAUACCGCAUACGUCCUACGGGAGAAAGCAGGGGACCUUCGGGCCUUGCGCUAUCAGAUGAGCCUAGGUCGGAUUAGCUAGUUGGUGAGGUAAUGGCUCACCAAGGCUGCGAUCCGUAACUGGUCUGAGAGGAUGAUCAGUCACACUGGAACUGAGACACGGUCCAGACUCCUACGGGAGGCAGCAGUGGGGAAUAUUGGACAAUGGGCGAAAGCCUGAUCCAGCCAUGCCGCGUGUGUGAAGAAGGUCUUCGGAUUGUAAAGCACUUUAAGUUGGGAGGAAGGGCAGUAAGUUAAUACCUUGCUGUUUUGACGUUACCGACAGAAUAAGCACCGGCUAACUUCGUGCCAGCAGCCGCGGUAAUACGAAGGGUGCAAGCGUUAAUCGGAAUUACUGGGCGUAAAGCGCGCGUAGG
rnacentral:rRNA from 1 species